UCAGCAGCCGGCGCCGCAGCGGGCGGGUGUCGGUGCCACGGUGUCUGUCGGGGAGGGAGCGGAGGAGGCUGCCGGGCUGCGCCCCUCGCCCGAUCCCCGCGGCCAGGCCCCCGCAUGCAGCCCUCACCCUGGAGCGGAGGCGGCGGAUCGAGGAGCUCUCGCGAUCCUCCCGGCAGCGGCUGCUGCAGUCCAGGGACAGGAUGUUCUCCAAGCUCACCUCCAUCCUGCAGCACGCCGUGGAGGCGCUUGCGCCAUCCCUUCCGUUGCAAGAAGAUUUUGUUUACCACUGGAAAGCAAUUACCCAUUAUUACAUAGAGACCUCAGAUGACAAAGCUCCUGUGACUGAUACCAACAUUCCUUCUCACCUGGAGCAGAUGUUGGAUAUUCUAGUUCAAGAAGAAAAUGAGAGGGAAUCGGGAGAGACAGGGCCUUGUAUGGAAUAUUUGCUACAUCACAAGAUCUUGGAGACAUUGUACACACUAGGGAAAGCUGAUUGUCCUCCCGGAAUGAAACAGCAAGUUUUGUCUUUCUAUACCAAACUUCUCGGAAGAAUUCGACAACCUCUUCUCCCACAUAUAAAUGUAUAUAAACCAGUGCAGAAAUUAAUCAGACUUUGCGGUGAAGUUCUAACAGCACCGACAGAAAAUGAAGAAAUUCAGUUUCUCUGCAUAGUAUGUGCAAAGCUGAAACAGGAUCCAUACCUGGUCAACUUCUUUCUUGAGAACAAGUUAAAAGCAUUGGCUUCCAAAGGAUCAGCAAGCGUAAUUACAGAAGACAUGCUAAAAGGCCAAGAUUCCUUGAUGACAGACACUGGACAGUCCGUUCAACCUGAAGAAAUAUCUAAUGCUGCUGGAGCGGAGCAAAUAGAGAAGGAAGAUGAUCUAUCCACAAGUCUGGAUGAACUAAAUGUCACUUCAUCACCUGAGGCCUCAGCUAUUCGUCUAAACCAAGACUAUAAUUUAGUGAAUUCUUUGCUAAAUCUCACAAAAAGCCCAGAUGGUCGAAUAGCAGUAAAGGCAUGUGAAGGCCUCAUGCUCUUAGUGAGUUUGCCAGAGCCAGCAGCAGCCAAGUGCUUGACUCAGAGCACUUGCUUAUGUGAAUUGCUGACGGACAGGCUCACCACACUCUACAAAGCCCUGCCUCUGUCCUUGGAUCCAUUAGAUAUUGAAUCGGUUGAGGCAAUUAACUGGGGUUUGGAUUCAUAUAGCCACAAAGAAGAUGCAUCUGCUUUUCCAGGGAAAAGAGCCUUGAUUUCAUUUCUCUCCUGGUUUGACUACUGUGAUCAACUCAUUAAAGAAGCACAAAAGACUACUGCUGUUGCUAUGGCAAGAUCUGUACGGGAACGAUUUUUUGUUGGUGUCAUGGAACCCCAGCUGAUGCAAACUUCAGAGAUUGGGAUCCUUACAUCAACAGCACUGUUGCAUCGUAUUGUCCGUCAAGUCACUUCAGAUGUGUUGCUGCAAGAAAUGGUUGGCUUUAUACUUGGAGGACACAGAGAGCCAGAAACCCUGACAGACAUCAACAGACAUCCAUUGCGACACAGAUUAAUCGAGCACUGUGACCAUAUUUCUGAUGAGAUCAGCAUAAUGACUUUAAGAAUGUUUGAGCACCUUUUACAAAAACCUAAUGAGCACAUUCUUUACAACUUGGUUCUAAGAAAUUUAGAAGAAAGAAACUACACAGAAUAUAAACCACCCUGUCAGGAAGAUAAAGAUGUAGUGGAGAAUGGACAGAUAGCAGGAGCAGUAGACCUGGAAGAAGAUCCGUUAUUUACUGAUCUUUCUCCGGAUAACACAUUGUCAAAUCAAGAGUGGCUAAGUGCUUCUCCUCCCAUCAGCCCGGAACAUCCAAAAAACGAUGGGAAGACUGAAGUUCAUAAAAUUGUAAAUAGCUUUCUCUGUCUAGUACCUGAAGAAGCCAAAUCAUCAUACCAUGUAGAGGGCACAGGUUAUGAUACCUAUCUCAGAGACGCCCACAGACAAUUCCGGGAUUAUUGUUCAAUCUGUUUACGAUGGGAAUGGCCGGGGUCUCCCAAAUCUUUGGAAAAGUGCAAUUUAGAAGCAUCGUUUUUUGAAGGACAUUUCUUGAAAAUUCUGUUUGACAGAAUGGGCAGGAUUCUCGAUCAGCCAUACGAUGUAAAUUUACAAGUUACAUCAGUGUUGUCCAAACUCUCCCUGUUUCCCCAUCCACACAUCCAUGAAUACCUUUUGGAUCCCUAUGUAAAUCUGGCUUCAGGCUGUCGAUCUCUAUUCUCCGUUAUUGUCAGGGUUGUUGGAGAUCUUAUGGUGAGAAUCCAGCGCAUACCGGAUUUCACUCCCAAACUUCUGCUAGUCAGAAAGCGUCUGCUUGGAUUGGAACCUGAAGGACCCAUUAUUGACCACAUGACAUUACUGGAGGGCGUGAUUGUACUGGAAGAGUUCUGUAAAGAGCUAGCAGCGAUUGCAUUUGUGAAAUACCAUGCCUCAUCUACACCCUAAGCAGCCACUUGAAGUGACUAGGCUACAGAAUCGAGUGUUUCAGUCAAAGAAGACUAUUGAUUCCACCAGACAAGAAGGGAGAGAGCCUCCUAACAAAGAGUUGAUAUAAUUUGACAGUUGUUAUGGAUGGCAGUUGAGGGUGAGUUCUUGGUCCCUGUUCAUGAUUUCUUGGCACUCGCUGCACUCUGAUGGAGAUGUAAUCAAAUGGACGUUGAACCCAGGAUGCAAUCAAAGGGACUUCAGGGCAGACAAAACAUAACAUUUCCAGUCACUGUUUGAAGAGCUGAAAAAAAUGUCUGAAGACCACAAACUUCAGAACUUUGGUUACCAGACCAUUGUUUUAACAACAUUUUAGGUGGUAAGGAUUUUUUAUAUGCUCUGGGGCUCAUAUACUUCAAUUAUCUUUUGUGAUCGUUAUUGCUUUUUAAAAUAUCAAGCUAUUUCUCUAAUGUUUUCAUGUCAAGUUUUUUUCUCUUCAGUUGAAAAUAUGAAAGAAAAAGAGUAAAGCAGUAUGUGUAGAUACAAGUGAUACCAUCUAAAACAUUGGAGAGAGGAUGAAAAGACCUGCUAAUACAUAUAUAGUAUGAGAUGAUCCAUGUGGGAUGAAUUCUACUUUUGUGAAUCUUCUUAUAUUGUAGUGAAUUCUGGGCUGGUGAAUUCUGAUUCAUCACUGUGUUGUUCCAGUUUUAGACUGGUGUAACUCCUUAUAUUAAUGAAAUUAUAUUGCCAUAUGUUGGUGAAUCAGGGCCUGUAUGUAGACAACAAUCAUAUCCUAAGUAUGCAUGUUUCUAGUGCUGUGCUCUUUGUUAUUUCCAAAUGGUUUCUGCUGAGUUCAGCUGUGUAACUAGACUUGCCUUAGAUUUUUUUUAUGUGAGCUCCAGUUUGUUUGAUCCAUGUCAUCUUUAUAAGGAUGCUAUUAUACAGGUCAUUAAUAGUAGUUGCUAAAACUAGUAUUUUUUUAAAUGCUAUUUAACAUUGGUUUAAGAAUAUUUUGUGCCUUGAAAAUUGGCAGUGAAAAUGUUCUGUUGUUUUUAAAAUGUUUUAUUGCUUGUCUGAAUGUAACCAUAGUGUCCAGACGAAAGAGUGACUGACACCGUUUUGGGCAGCAGUAUAAGGGAUGAUUCAAUACUUAGGACCAAAAUUCUCCACUGGUUUUCACAACACUGGGAUGCAAAGAUGUUCCCCAGUUCAUUCUUUGCAACAUGAAUUCUACCAGCCAGAGCAGGAAUUUCCAUUGCAGGCCAAGGAGCAUGUACUCUAGCAUACUGUGCUACUGUUCCUCCUGAAUGACUGCAGCUAGCACUUGCUGCUGACAGCAGCAUAAGCACUAGCAGGCUGGAAGGGCUGGAUGUGCUCCUUAACCUUCAUAUCGCUCUUGGUGAUCUCUUUAGAGAGAACUGCCCACCUGUUUACACAGGAGAAUACCUUCAUAUUGACACAGUAGCACAGACAGACCAAGCAGGAUUGAGCCCUUAAUGUUCAUAUUCCAUUUCUUUGUCUUUUUUAAAAUCCUGUUGGACAGUGAGUGUCAGUUUCUGAUCUCAUUUCAGUUUAAAUCUGGAUUAAUUUAAUCAGUCAAUAGCAUUCCUCCUAAUUUCCAUGAGCGUAACUGGGAUCAGAAUCUGGCCCUCCCUGAUUUUGAUGUCUGUCUGCUUUUUUACAUUUAUGGAAUCUGGAUUUUGAACAACUCCUGAAGUUACCAGCUGCCUUGUCCAACAAAAUUGAACAUGCUCACAGUUAAUGGGCUAAAUUCACCACUUAUUCACAGCAUAAACUCCAGUGGAGGGUCCUUCUGGUGAAAAUUACAAGGUUACAGGCAGAUAGAAGUGUGGAGUACCACUCCAAAAAAGGAAGAGCAUUGCCCAAAAGUGGCUGUGGCCAGGGAGUAAGAUGAUUCAGUAGCUCCCUACUGGUCCUCCCAUCAACAGAGCUCUGGCACCUCAGCUAGAAUGAAAGAUAUUCUCAAGAGUGGGUAGUGGUAGGAACCUGGGACUCAGCAGACAUAUGCACCAGCUUUGCUGAAUGUGCCCCAAUAAUGUUUUCAUAAUAAAAUAGCUUAGUAAAAUAGAGUUUAAGAAAGGGUACUUUCUCUUCAUUCCCAUUCUUUACAUGGGUAUUUGGAAAGUAGCAAGUGAUUUUGUUUUCAUUUUGAGAAGCUUCAUUAAUAUAAUGUACCUGCCUGUACAUACAGUAUAAAAAGGUAUGUAUGUGUGUAGAUUUAUGUUUAAUGCAUACAUUUUUGAUAAUUUAGGCCCCAGUUAUGCAAAGCACUUAAGCAUGAGCAUAAAGUUAAGUAUCUACUUAAGAUCCAUUUAAAAUGAGUAUGAGUUAGGAAAACACUUGAAGUUAAGCUAGUGUUUAAGUGUUGUGCUGAACAGCAGUGGAGUUAUGCAUGGUCUUAAAUGCUUUGCUUAAUCAGGCCUUGGUUGUUUUAGGUUUUAGCUUGAGUUUAAUUACACUUGCUGCAAAAUUUAAUUCUGUUUUCAUUAUUUAUUAAAAGAAAAAAACCCUCUGAUAUUUAGAAUACUCCUAAAAUCCCAUUUGCAAUGUAAACUGUAGCAGACAUAAUGCUAUGAAAAAUGAGUGAGGAAAAAAAAAAUCCACAUUAGAGCAUUCCAAACAAUAUGAUGGUUAUAAAUCCAUGUAAGAGGUGCAAGAUCUCAGAUGGAGACAUGAACAUCAUUUAAUUUUUUUAAAUCAGUUGCUGCUAUUGGAGCUAAUUACACAGUAAGGGAUUGCAUCAGUUAGUUUAUGCAAGGAUAACUGCAGAGUCUGUAGUUUUUAAAUGCAAAAUGAUUUACCUAGCUAGAAGCCCAAUUGUUUAAUGCUUGAGUUGAACAAUAAGGUAUCACUAUAAAUAUUCUUAAAUUCAAGAUGUAAUUGUCUAGCAUUCAGUCUUCAGUGUGUUUAGUAGCCAUGGUGAUAUUUCGCAAACCAAAUAUUAUUCAGGCCACAAAUUAUAAAAAGUUGAUCCAUCUUGAUAGCAAGUGAAGCAAUGCUAGGAAAAGCUUGAGCCCUCCUGGUUUGUAUAGGUGCUGCUUACAAUUAUUACCAUAAAUUGUGACGGUGACUUUUAUUUUUGUAAAAGCAAUGGACUCUUUCUUAAGAGAUGGAAAUAGUUUAAUUUUGUUUCUUGGUUUUCAUGCACUUUUUUUUUAAAAAAAGUAAAAAUUAGUUCAGCUCCAUAUUUUUACUCAUUGAAUCUAUGCAUAUCAUUGAGUUGACCAUUGUGUGUGUGUGUGUGUGUGUGUGUGGUUAUUUAUUACCCACAAGUGGACACCUGAGAACCAUGGCCUGAUACUCAGAAGUUCAGAGCACCCACAAAUCUUUCCAGUGUCAAUGGGAACUGCAGGUGUUGAUCACCUUUGAAAAAUAUGGCUAAGAGUAUUAUUUUGAAAUAUUUGAGGGGAAAAUACUGGGAUAAUUUUGGUUAAGUAAGCAAAUUCGAAUUGCAUUUAUACCUUGAUGCACAUUUUUGUAAAUAAGUACACAUUUUUAUUUUUCUGCCAUUUAUUGUAUGUAUUGAUUUAGACUCUGAUGUAGAAACUUUUGUAAUAAGCAACAUGCUACAUCUGCUAGAACAGAAGUUUGUCCUUAGUCUAUUUCCAUUAUGAUUGUAAUCUUCCUAGUAUUCAAAUCUUGUCUGUGUAAUGUUCGUAUAAUGUAUUCAUUUGUGCAAUAUGGGAGCUGUGAUUUGAUACACAGCUUCAGUCUGGUUGUACAUCACCUAUGUAUCUAUAAGGACUGAAAUCCUGAGUUUGCUUACACUAUUGCUAGUGUAAAGAUUGUUACACUUGAUUUUACAGGGCACAAGUAAUCAUGGAAUUGCUUUGUAAAUACAUGGUAAUUCCUUGCAAUGCAUUGCUGUAUGAAUACAUGAUUACUAUUCAAUUAUGAAGUACAUCAUUAUUUGUCUUUAGAGAAAUGUUACAAUGAAGUACUAUGUAAAAUCUACAGAUAGCAUGGUAUUUCAGGUUGUAAGAUAAAUCCAAACAUAUAUAAUGUAUAUCAUACAGGUCUUUGCAACCAUGAUCACUAAUAAUAUUUUCUGUGCCCUGUAAAAUAAUUACUCUCUAUAUAUACACUUUUUUUGUUUUGCCUCCUGCCUUGUUUACAUUAAACAGAGGAUAUUCAGUAAACUUUUUUAUUGAACUUUAUGUCGGUCACUGACUGACAGUGUUGCCAAGGUUUAGCAGACAUGGGAUAUGCAACAAAGGAACUGUUGAAACAGCCACAUUUCUAUAAUUAAAGUACUAACUUUUACAAAGGAGGCGCUGAUAAAAUUCAAUUUUUGUUUAAAAAAUGCAUGCAGGAUUAAAAGGGAUAUUCUAAAAAUAAAUUAAUUUCAAUGAAGUGACUUAUUUUUUCAGAAUUCUAAAUAAGUUUUGUAUGUUUGUUUAGAGGAAGAAAAUGGUACAAAAUCAUUGAAGUGAUGAUGAUCUUGCUUGUCUUUCAUCCUGAAGGAUUUUCAAGCAUGUUACAAACUUUAUAUAAUAAUCAUGGCAGCCACAUCUGGGGUAGAACAUGUUGGAUGUUUAACAGAGUACACUACUGUUUAGGAUACAAAAUGAAGCAGUAUACUCGCUCCCACUCAAACUGGAGGUAAAAUAAAAAGACAAAAUGUAAUCACUCAGAACACAGACUAAUGCCCCCUACUCUUGAGAAAAGUCCAUUAGGAUCUUUAAAGAUUGCAGGUGGUCAGGACCCUGAUCUCAUGCCACCUCAAGAGUACAGCGUGGGUUUAUUGAUUCUGAAACACAAAUGUCACCUACCUGAAUCACUGCCAUUGCUUCUUGAAUCUUAUGAUUCCAGGCUUCCCCUGUUGUAUACUGGGUGUGUUUGUGUUCUCCUUCCUCUGAAGUCUCAGUGAAGGCCAUGGCUGGAGAAGGGACACCAAAUGGCAUGGGCCUAUAUUCUGAAGUGGUACAGAGAAUAGUAAUCUUUCUCAGAUGCCUGGCUGGUGGGUCUUGCUUAGGGUAAAAAUGAUCAGCAUUUUUGUGGUCAAGAAGGAAUUUUUCCCUAGGACAUCUUGGCAGAGACCUUGGGUGUUUUUGCUUUCCUCUGCAGUAUGGGGCAUGUAGCACCUCCUAGGAUCAUCUGGGUAUAUCUCGCCAAAUAAAUUCCCUGCCAUUGCAACAUCGCCCAACAUCAGUCCACUUCAGUCCCUUCUGUUCUCGGCCUGUGACACACAAGAGUUUGAUCUCCUGAGGGCUGUAAUACUUCAAUAUAAUGCAGUUUGCUGACUCAAUACAGGGGUAACUGGGUGAGUUUAAUGGCUGCGAUAUACAGGAGGCCAGACUAGAUAAUGUGGUGGUCCCUUCUAGCCUUGAACACUGUGCUGUUAACCUUGUCUGGCCACGUUUAGCUUCUCAGAUCUAACAAAAUCACAACCUGAGUUGGUUUGUGGUACACAUCUCCAUGCUAAUGUAUGUGGCAUUCAGUGUUUGACUCAAACAUUCCAUUGCAAUCCUGGAUUUCAGUGUCAAACUGAUGUAUUGAGGCUUCCUAGUUUUGAUGAACUAUGAACUAGUCUUCUGCCUCAAGACUUUGAGGCCUUGCAUAUUCUUUUUUUAAAGUCACAGUAGCCCACCCAAUUGCGGCCUCAAUAAUAAUAUUAACCUGUUCCAUGGAAUCUGAAUAAAACUCAGUGCGGGUAUAGUUAAUGCAGGACAUAUUGGAUUUGUUAACCUUUUAACACUUUCAGUGCUAGUGGUGUCAAAGCCUCAAGGAGUUUGGCUGAUUUGAAAUGUGAAGCAAGUGGGUUAAGGUAGAUUAAUCUUCAGAGCAUUGAGUCUGACACAAUUUGUAUGUGUUCUUUGGGCCUAGAACCAUGUGCUGCUGAUGCAUCUUUUUCCUGCUGAAGCUUUUUGUUUGAAGGAAGCUGAAGCUUUUUGUUUGACUACUUGGAACAGGAAAGCUGAAGUGCAAUUCAAAAAUCAAGUGAAGCAUAUGGUGGAUUAGAACCUUCAGGUGUCCUAAGCAUCUGGGGAGUCUCAAAAGGAAGGAAAUGGUGAAAAGCUGACUGUUACAAGUCUGGACAGAUCACUGGCCCUGCCUUCGGAGUCAGAGAUCUGUAAGGAUACACAGGUGCAGCUAACUGAAAUCUUACAGCUUGCCAUCUAUCCAAGUGGCAUGGCCCAUUCCCACUGUCCUUGGCAGGAUGGUUUUUGUGUUAUGUGGCAGAUGUGUUUUUUUUAAACUGUGUUUCAUGGAAUUGUUGCUCAUUAUUUACAAGAAAUGCUGCUGACUGUAUAAAAUUAAAUAUACUACUAUAGAAUAACAAUUAUGACAUUGGGUAUUUUUAAUGGCUCAUAACAUGUGGUCUUAUUUUGCUCCUUCUGCCUUUCUGCUCCAUGGCAUCAUAAUUAAAUGUUUUUUUUUCCCCUGGUAUAAUACACUUUCAAAGUAAAAAAUAUUAAAACUCCUGGAAACAACAAGAUGUGGCCCCUACCAAAGUACUAUGUAACAGUGUGUCACGUUGUAGGAUCCUGUAGAAAAACACAGAGCUAGUCUGCUGACUCAUCCUGGUAGCCAGAUGAGAUGGAUCUCAUUACCAUCAAACAGCUCUGAGGAAUAGAAGAGCUAGAAGAAAGGGGAAAAAAGUCCUUCAUAGUGCCCCAAAUCAGCCCACUUUGGAGUUAAGGCUUAUAUUUCUUCAUGGAAGGCCUGCAUGAAGCCCACCAGCUAAGAUCCAGACCAGUUGGCUGGAUGACAGAAGAGGGUGACAGAAACCCAGUGUUCAAAUAUGGUCAAACUUCAGCUGUCUGGAGAAAUCUGUUGAUCAAGUUAAAUGGACUUUUAUCUAUCUUUGGAGGUAAGCAAUAUUUCAGUGGGUGGUGAAAAAUUAAUACACAUAUAGACUCUAGUAAAUGAAGGCUUGUCUGUUAGAUGGCUGAAUGUCAGACUUUGAUGUAGGGAAUUGAUUUGUUUACCACUUUGCUUAUAAAAUCCCACAAUGAUAAGAUAUUUGUGGUAAACACCCUAUCCUGUCCCAGGAACUAUACUGCAGAAAUCAAUUUAUUUGAAGGGAAAAACCUCUCUCUCUCUCUCCCCACCCAAUCCUGCAGUGUUUACUGAAGAAAAUUUCUUAUUGACAUCAGUGUAGAUACUUCCCAAACUAUUGCAUCUCCAGCAUAUUUUCUUCUAAACUGUUGAAUUUUUUUUUAAAAAUUCCCUUUUUUUUCUCUUGUGCUGCAAUGUAUAUGACAGACUUGCACUGAACAAGUGUGAAUUCCUUUGUAUUUUAUAUAGGGAUGAUUUUUUUUCAAAGGGAAAAAUCUCACUUUGGGUCCACAUAAGUGGAAAUACAGAUGAAGAGCAGUGCUUACACCAAGAAAAUUACUGACUUCAUUGCUGGGGAGUCAAUCUGGUUUGAUCACAUUUAUCCCUGGUUGACUCCACUGACUUCAAUCCUGACUUCAUUGCCAAUGGAGGAAGAGCAUGGCCCAUCUUGUUUUUUGUUAUAAGGGUGAAAUUUGCCCCUGUACAGAAAACCAGCUCAGUGUCUAUGUAGCAUUUAGUGGAUGUAAGUAGGUCUUACGUGCUGCAUAGCCAUUAUGCUGGCCCUGAGAACAUGUUGUUUCUCCUCUCCCCUCCCCUCC